ensembl:lincRNA 4930528D03Rik RIKEN cDNA 4930528D03 gene
GGUCCAACUGCUUGGCAUCAGACUAGGGUGACUUGUGGAAGUUGGUUGACUGGCAGCUCGGAAGUUUCAGAGCUUCAGUCCAUUAUCAUCAUGGUGGAAAGCAUGGCAGCAUCCAGGCAGGCAUGGCACUGGAGAAGUGGAGAGUCCUACAUCCUGAUAUGAAGGCAGCCAGGAGAAGACUAAUGGUCUGAAAGCCCACCCACCCCUGCAGUGACACACUUCCUCCAACUAGGCCAUGCCUCCUAAGAGUGUCACUCCCUAUGGGCCAAGCAUAUUCAAGCUACCAUAACUAGGGUGUGGGGUGGGUGUGGGUGCGGGAUGUUCUGAAUGGCUCGUGGGAUGUCCUUCCCACUGAUGGGAUCAUGUGAGUGUGUGUUGUGUCUGACCAGUAGAUCACAACCUGGGUUCUAGCCUGGAAAGGCAUUUUGGAAACCUGGAAGAGAAGAGGGGCUGGGCUGCNNNNNNNNNNNNNNNNNNNNNNNNNNAGAUAAGGAAGGAACCAAGACAAAGCUCUCUGCUCAAGGUUCAAUUUUUACUAUUUCGGCACUCAGUUAUAAAGGAAGUGGGAGGGGCCCAAUUCCCGCCAAAUAAUCUUAGAGUCCAGUAGCAGGGUGAUCACGUGAUGGCUUCGGAACAGCAAAGCUGCAGGUUCCAGCAGUGGGCGUGGCAGAACGAUUGAGCUGGCAAGCUCCACCCCUGAGCAAGCAGGUUUCAGACUGGGGGAGGGGAGACUACAAGUGUGGGCACUGGGCAGACUCACUUAUCAGAAACAUCAAGGACAGACUGCAAUUGGUAAGGUGCAUCAGGGUGACAGAAGGACAGUGUGCAACUUUGGACUACAAGGAUUUGGGUUACAGUGUUUCAAAGUCUUACAUUGAGACUCUUGAUGCAUUUGCAGCUUCCUGGUGUGUGGGGUGAGAAGAUGGGGAUCUAGUUUAACGUUCUACAUGUAGACACACUCUGUCUGUUGAAGAUGCUAUCAUCGUCCUAGUGAGUAUUUCUUAGGCCUGGUGGGUAUUGGGGGUUAGAUCCAGGCUCUUGUGCCUGUGCUGCAAGCACUUUAACCAACUAACUAGCCCACCUCCCAGCUCCUGGAUCUUAGAUUAGUAUAUUAGAUCCCUGUUUGACAUACUGAGUCCUAAGUUGGGGCAGUGAUUCCCUCCAACGACUAAGAUUACACCUUUUAAAAGAAAGAGCUCUUUUUUUUUUUUGUAGGGUUUGGAGAUGUGUGUGCAUGUAUUUGUGGGUAGAUGUAUGUGCACACCUGUGUUCAGAUGUAUGUGCAUGUGUGUGCAUGUAUGUGGUGGGAUCAGAGGUUACUAUCUUUUGUCUUCUAUUUUAAAAACUGAGUGUGUUAUUU